rnacentral:lncRNA from 1 species
UACACGACUCCCUAAAGAGUUGUUUUAACCUCUAACGUCUUUCCAGAUGGACCUGGUGGUGUUUCGUUGUUUUCUUUGCCUAGGUUACCAAAAAGACUCUUGCCUUCCACCUUCCAACGUAUCCUGUUUUGUGCAAUUCUCUGAGAGAGGGUGCCAAAGCUUAACCACGGGCCGCAGGUAACGCACUGAAGCAGACCUAGCCGUUGUGUUUUUGUUUUUGUUUUUCUUUGUAAAAAUAAAGCUAAUGGAGGACUCUCGGGAGUAUUUUAAAAUUCAAAGGUCGUUCAAGGUGCUGGAUUCAUUGACAGGAAACAAGAAACAUUCAGAGAAAGCAGGCUAUGAAGAGAGAGCGCCGGGUGCUAUGAAUUCAAUGAAUUUCAAAAACAAGAAAACAUGGAGGAAAAAAAAAAAAA